GACAGAGGGUGCAAACGUUGUUCGGAAUUACUGGGCGUAAAGCGUGUGUAGGCGGCUUUGCAAGUCGGAUGUGAAAGCCCCGGGCUCAACCCGGGAAGUGCACUCGAUACUGCAGAGCUUGAGUGUCGGAGAGGUUGGUGGAAUUCUCGGUGUAGAGGUGAAAUUCGUAGAUAUCGAGAGGAACACCGGUGGCGAAGGCGGCCAACUGGACGAAUACUGACGCUGAGACACGAAAGCGUGGGGAGCAAACAGG
rnacentral:rRNA from 1 species